rnacentral:tRNA from 1 species
UCUCUGGUGGCUCAGAUGGUAAAGCAUCUGCCUACAAUGCAGGAGACCUGGGUUCAAACCCUGGGUCGGGAA